UCCCUGGUAGCUCAGAUGGUAAAGCGUCUGCCUACAAUGCGGGAGACCCGGGUUCGAUCCCUGGGUCGGGAA
rnacentral:tRNA from 1 species